GGAGCUUGUCCGUUUUACUCAGGUAUGAAUAUUUCUCCAAGAUUGUAAAUCAUAGUUGUUUACUCUUCCAUUGGCAUGCUGAUUCGUUUGUUUUCAUCAUUCAAUGAGACUAUAAAAAACUGAGAAGAGUUAGUUGAGGAGGAGAUUUGAUGAUGACAUCAGAUAAUAAUCUCAUUGCUAAUUUAUUUUACUGAAAUCCUAAUUGAUGUGAAAAACUGUAUCGUCUUGUCUCCAUGCAAUCAUAACACAUGUCUAACUGUCAUUCUUUUUU
rnacentral:misc_RNA from 1 species